rnacentral:lncRNA from 1 species
GAGUUGUUGUCACCCGCCACGGCGAGUUCUCGGUGGCCCGCAUCCUCUUCGCUCCGGGAACUUCCCUCAGUUUUCUUGUGAAGCCAGGCGUCUCGCAUGCCUGGUGAUGGCCCAGUUCCGCUCGCAGGAUGGAGCUGGAGGGAAGCGUGAGGCUAGUGACAAGGCUUGUGGAUGUGCCGCCGGAACAGGCUUGGAAUCCUAAUUUGUGGUCUUUAGUACCUUGUGACCUGGCAAGUGACUUGGCCUUUCUGAACAGCAUCUGGUCAUCUAUAAAAGGGUGCAGAGUAGCAAUAACUACCCAGUGAGGGUUGCGGAAAGGAUCAAAGGAAGCAACACUUAAACUUACAUAUUUGCAAAUUCGAGUUGGUCCAGACCUUGUAGAUGCUGCGCUGCUUUGGUCGCUGGGUUUUCCAGUCCACUAAACAUUUAGGUUUCUCUGUGUAGCUUUGGAGGUUGUCCUGGAACUCGCUCUGUAAACCAGAUUGGCCUGGAACUCCCAGAGAUCUGCCUGCCUCUGCUUCCCGAGUGCUGCAAUUAAAG